CCCUGGCCGCCGCGUGGUCGAGCAGCACGUGGGUCGGCGCCACGUGGGCGAGGGCCGCCUCGAGCUCCUCCGGGGUCUCGACCCAGGCAAGGGC
rnacentral:tRNA from 1 species